UACGGAGGGUGCGAGCGUUGUCCGGAAUCAUUGGGCGUAAAGGGCGCGUAGGCGGGCACGUAAGUCAGGGGUGAAAGCCCACGGCUCAACCGUGGAAGGGCCUUUGAUACUGCGUGUCUGGAGGGAGGUAGGGGCGUGCGGAACUUCCGGUGGAGCGGUGAAAUGCGUAGAUAUCGGAAGGAACACCGGUGGCGAAAGCGGCGCGCUGGACCUCUUCUGACGCUGAGGCGCGAAAGCCAGGGGAGCAAAGCGGG
rnacentral:rRNA from 1 species